CAGAAACACAAUGAUCUGGUGCCACCAUGUGGUGAUUUUUAUUCAGGUUUUAGAAUGCAGUUCACACCUUUUUAAGCCAUGUGCUGGAUCAGAUGGUUCAAAAGUGCAAUUUUUGAACAUGGUUUAACUCCCACAGAAUGCAGUGUAACUAUGUUUGUGUUUCAGAUUUGAGGUGUUCCCCCCAAAAGAAUUUGGUUCAGUCCUUGGGAGUAUCUGGCUUUAGGAGGAAAUGGGGGAGAUCUGUCACGAUGUUAUCUAGAAGGUGGAAUGACCAUACCAAACAUCCUUUUAAUCUAACUUGAAUGUCUCACCAAAAAUAACAUUUCUGUUGGCAUUCUGGGUCCUAGAAGCCAGAUCCAUCUCCUUUUUCCUUCUGUUGCUCUCUUCCUUCACACCCUCUUCCAUGUCCACAUGCACUUAUCUCCCUGCAGAAUACUUUUUGCGAUGAUGUUUCUCAUGUAUUCUUUCUUUCCUUGUCUGGAUGAGCAGAAGAAGAUCAUGAUCAUGAUCUGCUGUAUUAUCCUUGCGAUCAUCUUAGCUUCCACCAUUGGGAGCAUAUUUGCCUGAAAAAGGUGAGCCAUCUGUGGGGAGGGUCAGACCUUCUUUCACUGACUUGAAACCUUUGUGUCUUGGGGGCACUCUAGGUGCCUUAAUCUGGGUGGGAUUAGGUGCUAAUAAUGGUUAGAGAAAACUAAAGAAAGGGAUGUUUCAGAGACAGAAAAGUGAGUGAAGAAUGAACUGUUAGUAGGUAGUCUGUGGGAGGAGGGGGGAGACAGAAGGUGGCAAUCUGUCCUAUAACCUGGUGUGGCAGAAUGCUUUGUACAGGUGAAGGAUAGUGAUUCCUGCUAAACAGUUUGAGCCUUGGUAUCUGGAAGUGACAAAAAGAACAAGAAUUAGUUCUUGCAUUAGGUGCAUCUUGAACUUUUUGGAAGAGGGCCGGCCACACAGUAAAUUCAAAUUAAAUUUCUUCCCUUUCAAGGUUAAUGAAAGUUAACACAGCCUUGUAUGUAGUCCUUUACCCCGGGUAAGAGGGAUUUGGUGAUCCCAGCCACGAACACCAUGCUAUAUAAUCUAUGAUUUUUUUCCUCCAUUUUUCUGUUAUCUCCCACAGCCCUCACAGAUUGAUCGACUGGCAUUUCUAAUCCUCCUUCCACUUCUGUGGUACCAUCACUUCUCCACGCAGACUCCUCAUCAGCUUCUCCUCUUUCCAUUAUGAAACUUCUUAAGAAACAGGGCACCAAUCAACUACUUAUUAAGAAUUAUGCAAAGAAUAAACGUAUACAGAAUUGGGCGGAGGACAGGGACAGGGAGUACAGAUACAUAGCUGAUUAGGCAGAUGGUUUAAAGGAGGACUGCAGGGUAGAGAAGCAAGCAGAGUGGGCGCCUCUUUAGGAAGUGACACAGCCUGCAUGUGCAGUAUGGCUGUGAAGGGGCAGAUAUCAUAGCACACCUAACUCAACAGGAUCUUACUUGAACUGCUGUGAGUUGGUCAAGUCAGGGCACUUCUGCUCUUCAGGCUCCUCUAGGUCACACCUUUGACCACCCUACAUCUGUUUCCUCUUUCAGGCUCCAGUAGUAGUCUUAAAAGUGAAGUUUAUCUAAGGAUAAGCACAUGCCUAUCUUGCUCACUGCUGUGUCCCCACUUUUUAGCACAGCGCCUGCUGCUUACAGGUACUCAAAUAUCUGCUGACUUAAUUACUUAUAAUUAAGCUCUUAUUUCAGUCAUGGACAAAUCCUUGGGUUUGACUCCUAAACUCUUUAAGGUACCAAUGAGAACGUGGUUUGUUACUGUCAGAGGCUGUGUAAAGCCGCUUGGGAAUGGGCUGAUCUGCUUAUGCAAAAAUGCUACCAACCUUUCAAACCCCAUUACCACAACAUGAAAAUUUAAAGUGCUUUUUCUAUGGGUGGUGAUGGUGGAGUUCUAGCAACAGCCUCUUAAUCUGUGGAGAAGAUGGCUGGCUCCAGGACUGUGGUUCAAUAACGAAAUACAGGCCCACAAAAUAAAAUAGGUUUAUAGCAUGACUGAACUCACACAUCAGUAGAACACUCUGUGAACCAUAACAAAGAACAGAUAAAGGUGUCAAGUGAGAAAGGUGAAAUGAGGUUAUCACUCACUUCACCUCUCACCUGAUUUGUGUUGCUAGCUGAAACUGCUGGCCAGUAACGUAUGUAUAAGAAACUGUUAUAGGCCGGGCACGGUGGCUCAUGCCUGUAAUCACAGCACUUUGGGAGGCCAAGGCAGGUGGAUCACCAGACUGACCAACAUAGUGAAACCCCCUCUCUACAAAAAAUACAAAAAUUAGCCAGGCAUGGUGGCUUGCACCUGUAUUCCCAGCUACUUGGGAGGCUGAGGCAGGAGAAUUGCUUGAAUGCAAGAGGCGGAAGUUGCAGUGAGCCGAGAUCGCGCCACUGCACUCCAGCCUGGGCAACAAGAGCUAAAUUCCAUCUAAAAAAAAAAAAAAAACAAAAAAAAAAAACUGUUCUUAAUACUUAAUACUGUCCCCAAUUCCAUUCAAGGUUCAGUUGUGUUCAGCUUUAAAACCAGCUAUGUGAAUGUGAGUUCUAGUGCAGAUUAUUUAGUGAUUAUGUAACUAAAAUUGAUGAAAAAAUCACACUAUACAACUGUGAGGAGCACACAACUGCUAAGUUUGUACUUUUGAAAGUAAAUUAUUCUUUGUUUGAUACCUUAUUUUUUAAGAAAGUGGGAUUAAAAAUAUUUUGGUCAGUGCUGUUUUCUACCCACCUUCAAAAGCCAAUGGUUUGAUAUUUCUAUUAAUUUGUGCUUCCUUUAGUUUUAAUAGGGGAUAGAAGACUGCAGCUGGUUGGGUCUGGAAAACAUUAAUCUGGGCAAACGGAGCUGGAGCUAUGAGGAUCUGAGUCCUAGGGGGCCCUCAUUCACUAGCAGUAAGAAUUUAAGUGGUGCAUGGCACAUAGCACUGUACUAGAUUCUGCAGGGGCACAAACAUAGAGCCAAACACUCUCCCUCUUGGAGAAUUUCAGACCCAGAAAAGGCCACGCAGUUCUAACUUUUGUCAUCGGUUCCUUUUGCUAAAAGGCAAAGGGUAUGUUCCUUGCCUAUUGUCCAACAUACCCCUUCCAAGAUUGUGAGAAGAUGGGUAGCUGGGCAUCAAUAAAUAUUGAAUCAAUUG
rnacentral:lncRNA from 1 species